UACAGAGGGUGCGAGCGUUAAUCGGAAUUACUGGGCGUAAAGCGCGCGUAGGCGGCUUUGCAAGUCGGGUGUGAAAUCCCCAGGCUUAACCUGGGAACUGCAUUCGAGACUGCAUUGCUAGAGUAUGGGAGAGGGAAGUGGAAUUCCGGUGUAGCGGUGAAAUGCGUAGAUAUCGGAAGGAACAUCAGUGGCGAAAGCGACUUCCUGGACCGACACUGACGCUGAGGAGCGAAAGCCAGGGGAGCAAACGGG
rnacentral:rRNA from 1 species